UACAGAGGGUGCGAGCGUUGUCCGGAAUCACUGGGCGUAAAGGGCGCGUAGGCGGUGGCUUAAGCGUGUGGUGAAAGCUCAGGGCUCAACCCUGAGUCGGCCGUGCGAACUGGGGUCACUGGAGCAUGUCAGAGGCAGGCGGAAUUCCGGGUGUAGCGGUGGAAUGCGUAGAGAGUCCGGAAGAACACCGGUGGCGAAGGCGGCCUGCUGGGACAUG
rnacentral:rRNA from 1 species